rnacentral:rRNA from 1 species
GACGAACGCUGGCGGCGUGCUUAACACAUGCAAGUCGAACGGAAAGGCCCUGCUUUUGUGGGGUGCUCGAGUGGCGAACGGGUGAGUAACACGUGAGUAACCUGCCCUUGACUUUGGGAUAACUUCAGGAAACUGGGGCUAAUACCGGAUAGGAGCUCCUGCUGCAUGGUGGGGGUUGGAAAGUUUCGGCGGUUGGGGAUGGACUAGCGGCUUAUCAGCUUGUUGGUGGGGUAGUGGCUUACCAAGGCUUUGACGGGUAGCCGGCCUGAGAGGGUGACCGGCCACAUUGGGACUGAGAUACGGCACAGACUCCUACGGGAGGCAGCAGUGGGGAAUAUUGCACAAUGGGCGGAAGCCUGAUGCAGCAACGCCGCGUGCUGGAUGACGGCCUUCGGGUUGUAAACCGCUUUCGCCUGUGACGAAGCGUGAGUGACGGUAAUGGGUAAAGAAGCACCGGCUAACUACGUG